GCCGCCAGCCCGCCACAAGAUCUGCCUUCUCCACUAAUAUCCGGCACCGGAUCCAGCUUCCGCGGCCGGCACCUACCGCGGGGUCACACGCACAAGGCCAGUCACGCUGCGGCUAUACCACGACGCCGACGAGGAGCGAGGUUGGAUCACGCCAGCGGACGACGGAUCCACUGUCGUGGUCAUUGGGAUACCUACUCCGGCGAGGUUCCUCGAUCCCGACCACCCCAAUCCCGUCCAACAGCAUCCUUGUUGCCCCUGUAACCAUGCUCGCUGUUGGUGGAUCCGUGCAGCACGGGCACCACGAGGGGUCACCGGGCAUGGUGGUCGCCGGAUCCGGCGAAUCCAAGCCUAACCGUCACCAGAUCUGGUGAGUCAUGAAUCCAAUCUUCCCUAACCUUCCCUGUUUUGGUUUUAUUUUGCAUGAUUUAAACAUUCCUUAUUUCUUGACCAGAUUGUCGGCCUCCUCUGCUCCUCCAAUUUCUGUGAAACCAAGUUAUAUCUAUAUAUGUGUGUAUAGUUGAGCUGUGCAAUAUAUAUGAAAUUUAUAUUUCAAUGUGUUGUUGCAAGUUGUGAAACUAAUUUCUAUGAAAUAUAUGGAAUUUACUUCCUUGAAAUAUAUAUAUAUAUAUAACGCUAAACUAAGCGUGAGUGUAGAAUAGCUUAUUCUACACCCCAGUAACGGUACAUACAAAAUACAGUAACACAUUAUGUAAAAUAUAGUAAUUUUUGUAAAAAUGUAGUAAAUUACAAACUUAGAUGAUAAAAAAUACUCCGAAUUACUACAUUUUAUACACAGUUUUACUAGAUUUUGUACAUAGCAUUACUAGGGGGUGUAGAAUAAGCUAUUCUACACUCGUGCUUAAAAUAGCGUUACCCUAUAUAUAUAUAUAUAUAUUAUAAUAGGUGCGUUUCCACAAAUUUUUAAUCUGUUCACUGUCUAAAACAAAAAAAAAUUAUCCGAGGUAGUACUAUAUGCGUUUGUCUCCUAUAAAAAGAAUUUUCGUACAUGGGAUGCGCACUGUGGCCCAGCGAAGCCAGCCCACUAUUUUUCUGUCAACGCAGCUGGAAAAAUUCUAUUUUUUACACUGGACUACAAAUAUUCAGAAUUUCGCACAGGACAACCAAUACUGGGCUAGCUCAUUUUUAUUUUUUUCUAGGUUGUACUUCUAUUUAUAUUCUCCUUUCCACAUCCAUUUUUCCUUCUAAGUUUAUUCUUUUAGAAUUUAUUUCAUAAAUUAAAAUUUCUCAGAAAACAUUCAGAAUUAAAAAAACAAAUUUUGGAAAAUGUUUAGAAUAAAAAAACAAAUUAUGGAAAAUGUUCAGACUCCCAAAAAUUUAUUGGUAUUUUAAAAAAUAUUCGAAGUUUCCCAUUUAUCAAAAAAAUUAUUAUUAUUCAAAAUUGUUCGAGAUUUCUAAAAAGAAAAUGGGCAUUUUUAAAAAAAUCUCCAAAUUCGAUAAAUAUUCUUGUUUUAGUGAAAUUUUCAAAAUGAAAAAUAAUGUUCGUGUAUAAAAUGUGCACAUUUUCUACAAAUCUUAUAAAUUUUCAACACAUGUCCCCGUUUAAAUUUUUUUGCACAAAUUCAAAUAAUGUUCAUGUUUUUAUAAGUUCGUGUUUUCAAAAAAUAUUUGUGAAUUUUAAAAGAUGUUCCUUUUCAUAUUUUGUUCGUAUUUUUUUAAAAGUGUACAUAAUUUUCAACAAACUAUUCACGAUUUAGAAAAUUGCUCAUGUUUCCUAGAAUAUUAAGAAAUUUCAUAUCUUAAAAUCCCUUCGAUUGAAAGGAUUGCAAGGAGGAGUUGAUUAAAUAACUUAUGAGCCUUCUCUAGGGUACAAUGACCUCUUAAAUGCCCUCGAUCAAUGAAUGAAACAAUACCUGCGAAACCGAGAAGUUAAAUAUUCCUCUUAUGUGUGCAUAUAAGGUUUUGCUUGCACAUAUAAUUCUCGCUGACUUUAAAUACAUAUUAUUUUAUCUCCCAUUACAACGCACGGGCAUAUGUGCUAGUUUUUACAUAAAUAAUAAUUGACACGAAGUGCUCCGGAUCUAGCAUUUUCUAUAACUAAAAUUGCCAUUCAAAACAAAAAAGAAACCCCUAAAAAAAUUGAAAUGAUACUACAUGCAAAUAUUCAGUACAUUUAAAAUAAGCUAUAUCAUCGGUACAACCAGCAACAACAGAAAUUCAGUGUGGCUAAAAUAAGCCCACUUUUUUGCACACAUUCAACAAGGUUUCUCAUUCGAGCAUGACAAUAAUCCGAAGCCGAUAUUGACAAGCUUCUGGAUGGUGGCGUCGAGGACCUCAGGUUCAGCCUUGUGCGCGAGCAGCUUCACCUCCUACACAACUGGUCUUUGCUUAUAGUAAUCCGGAGAUUGCAGGUUAGAAAACCGAGCAAGUAAAUUUUUAUAGCUCAAGGAGCAUAUAAAAUGCCCCAUACCCUAGCAUGAUUGGGAAAAAAAUAAGUUUUUUUGCGAGAGAAAUAAUUAAGAUUUUCAAGACGAACGGGAAUGCGGGAGGAGGACGUCGAUACGACGUGUGUGUCAAGAGUGAAUCUUCCUUGAAAGCAUAAGCUUAUUCUUGCCUCCGCAGUACCGGCCAAGGAGCUCAUCGACGAUGAGGCCCUGGCUAAGGUAUAUAUAGAAUUUUCUCAAUCUUGGGUGUAGGAACACUACAAAAAAAAGACACAUCCGUGACAUUUUGGCCCAAAUAAUUUUUUUCCAGUCAUGCUUAUGACACUUCUAUGACAAUACUUGUGACAAAAUCCGGUAUCAUCAUAGAUGUGGUGGGAUCCUACUUCUAUGACAAAAAAUCAUGAUAGAAAAUGGGCUUUUUGUUCUGGGCGGGCAGGAGACGCACCUGCAUGACAUUCUUUGGGACGUCCAUGACGGAAAAAAUCAUGGUAGAAGCAAGGGCGAGGAAAAUUUCGGGGAGUUCCCGGUUAGGGUGGGUGGUCGGGGCAGAGCGAUGCACAGAGGUUUGCGCGUUUCUCUCGUAUAUGUACGCGUGUGUGUGUGAGACGUUGAUCUCUAACUGAACCCGAGCGAGGCGUUCGCUUACUGAACCCGAGCGAUUGCACUAGCUACUUUACUGAACCAGAGUGAUUCCUUCGCUACUGCUGCUAACUAAACCCGAUCGAUCGAUCGCUGCUGCUGUUUACUGAAGCCGGUCGAACCUGCUGCCUCUUGAUGAACAGUGAACGUGGGGGUUGGUUGAACGAGUCGAGACAUACUUGGUUGGGGUUGGAU
rnacentral:lncRNA from 1 species